ACGGGAGUCUGGAAUUCCUGGUGUAGCGGUGGAAUGCGCAGAUAUCAGGAGGAACACCAAUGGCGAAGGCAGGACUCUGGGCCAUUACUGACACUGAGGAGCGAAAGCGUGGGGAGCGAACAGGAUUAGAUACCCUGGUAGUCCACGCCGUAAACGGUGGGCACUAGUUGUGGGGACCUUCCACGGUCUCUGCGACGCAGCUAACGCAUUAAGUGCCCCGCCUGGGGAGUACGAUCGCAAGAUUAAAACUCAAAGGAAUUGACGGGGCCCCGCACAAGCAGCGGAGCAUGCGGCUUAAUUCGACGCAACGCGAAGAACCUUACCAAGGCUUGACAUAUACAGGAAUAUGGCAGAGAUGUCAUAGCCGCAAGGUCUGUAUACAGGUGGUGCAUGGUUGUCGUCAGCUCGUGUCGUGAGAUGUUGGGUUAAGUCCCGCAACGAGCGCAACCCUCGUUCUGUGUUGCCAGCAUUUAGUUGGGGACUCACAGGAGACUGCCGGGGUUAACUCGGAGGAAGGUGGGGAUGACGUCAAAUCAUCAUGCCCCUUAUGUCUUGGGCUGCACGCAUGCUACAAUGGCUGGUACAAACGGCUG
rnacentral:rRNA from 1 species